UCCAGGGUAGCCUUAUGGAUAUGGCCUCUGACCGGUAAGCGAAACAUUGUGGGUUCGAUUCCCAUCCCUGGAC